GAUGAAGAACGUAGCGAAAUGCGAUACUUGGUGUGAAUUGCAGAAUUCAGUGAAUCAUCGAAUCUUUGAACGCACAUUGCGCCCUUUGGUAUUCCAAAGGGCAUGCCUGUUCGAGCGUCAUUUGUACCCUCAAGCUUUGCUUGGUGUUGGGCGUCUUGUCUCUAGCUUUGCUGGAGACUCGCCUUAAAGUAAUUGGCAGCCGGCCUACUGGUUUCGGAGCGCAGCACAAGUCGCACUCUCUAUCAGCAAAGGUCUAGCAUCCAUUAAGCCUUUUUUUCAACUUUUGACCUCGGAUCAGGUAGGGAUACCCGCUGAACUUAAGCAUAUCAAUAAGCGGAGGA
rnacentral:misc_RNA from 1 species